GAUAGAUCUCUCCUGAUGGCUAACUAUACUGAACACUUGGAUAAUAUAGCCAUGCCUACCAUAAAUAAACAAAAUAAUGUUUUCUGGAUUUAAUUUUGUUGACGUUAGACUAGCAAACCAGCGAUUUACUACUAAAGAUAAGAAAGUUGGCGAGGUUGACUAACUGCUGCCACUUGCUUCUGUGAACCGCGCUCGACUAUGUACGCUACACCUCGGUGUGCGCAUCGCUUUUAGUCAUGCAGCUGUGUGACAUCAGAUUGAAACAUACGUCUCUCAAGAUGCAAGUUUCCCUGCUAAUCCAGGACUGAAGGUUGUUUGUGCUUUUAUUUUGUGUUUCUGUUACAGACUGUGCGGCUCUUCACCUGGAUGUUUUUCUCUCAGGCUGGACGCCAGCUGCCUCCGCAGCUGCUGUUCUUCCCGAUUUCUUGCCUCACCCUGGCAGAUCUUCUGUAAUGUCUUCUUUCUUCUCAAGGAGAAAAUCUGAGUGUAUCUUUGCACAAGCCUCUAGGACACUGAAAAGUUUUGUCUGUCAGAUCCCAGAAACAUGGCUUGUCUCACGUCUUUCAGUA